rnacentral:rRNA from 1 species
UACGUAGGGUCCGAGCGUUGUCCGGAGUUACUGGGCGUAAAGCGCGCGCAGGUGGUUCCCUAAGCCCGGCGUGAAAGCCCCCGGCUCAACCGGGGAGGGUCGUCGGGGACUGGUGAACUUGAGGGCGGCAGGGGCUGGUGGAAUCCCCGGUGUAGUGGUGAAAUGCGUAGAGAUCGGGGGAACACCCGGUGGCGAAGGCGGCCAGCUGGGCCGACCCUGACACUGAGGCGCGAAGGCGUGGGGAGCGAACGGG